GAUGAACGCUAGCGGCAGGCCUAACACAUGCAAGUCAGGGGUAACAUAGAAAAGCUUGCUUUUCUGAUGACGACCGGCGCACGGGUGCGUAACGCGUAUACAACCUACCUUUUAGCGGGGAAUAGCCCACGGGAAACUUGGAGUUAAUGCCUCAUAGUAUAUAAGCUUCUCCUGAAGUUUAUAUUAAACAUUUAUGGCUAUUAGAUGGGUAUGCGUCCUAUUAGUUAGUUGGUAAGGUAACGGCUUACCAAGGCAGCGAUAGGUAGGGGUCCUGAGAGGGAGAUCCCCACACUGGUACUGAGACACGGACCAGACUCCUACGGGAGGCAGCAGUGAGGAAUAUUGGACAAUGGGCGAGAGCCUGAUCCAGCCAUGCCGCGUGCAGGAAGACUGCCCUAUGGGUUGUAAACUGCUUUUACAGAGGAAGAACCACCCCCACGUGUGGGGGGUUUGACGGUACUCUGCGAAUAAGGAUCGGCUAACUCCGUG
rnacentral:rRNA from 1 species